UCUUCGUGCCUAUGUCAGAUUUUCCACCUCAUCACUGAGUCUCUGCCAAAUCAGUCGAGAGCCAAGAGCUCUUGGGUGGAAGCCCUUCUUCUAGUUACAAGGCUAGAAGGGAGCCCCACAUCGGAGUUAGCUGAAAAGCACUCUUUCUAGUCAGUUUACAGUCCUUUUAGCAGUCAACUUUAUGAUGACGCAUCACAGCCAAAGCACAGUUUGGACACAGGUCAGCUUCCUGUGGUGUUUUUCUUUUAUCCUUUGGUUGAGAAGGUCACAGGAGACAUUUAAGUGCACCAUCAGUUGGCAGAUGCUCUCAAUCUGCCGAUUUAAUUUUAAAAAUUUCAGCUGAGAAACAUUUUCUUAAUUAUGUCUCUGUUCUAUUUUUUAUUUCUUCCUUGAUUUCCAGUUACAAUAGUCUAUCUCAUUCCAUUCUUGUAGCCAUUAUGUCUUGCCUUUAAUAAUAUCUUCUUAUAAUGUAACAAACAUUUUGACAAUAUUUGAACUCCUUAAGGGCAAAGGCUGUAUUGGUUCCGGUGAUGAGAUAAAUAUCUGCUGGCUGCUGGGGGUUCAUUCUCAUAGGCAUCAUCCUGGCAGAGGCAAGAUCAGCUCAGGUCUUUCAACUUGUGACUGGUCUCUUCAUUUUUAUAAAAUCUUUAGUCUGAAAAUGUUAAGGGAAGUGAACUAUGAAGCCAAGUCAAUUUUAUUUCUUAAAAUCAUGGCACUAAUUCUUGGUAAACUUUCACUUUGAGAUACAUAGUUGUAUGAGCUGUAUGUAUAGUACUCAUAGGAUAUGGACAAUAUAAAAUUUUAGAUGUGUAAUGUCUUAGUUCUCAUAUAGCUUACCUUCUUUGUCUAGUUUUAUGACAUGCCAAGCUUUUCUAUCUAAUUCCAUAAGUCUAUAUUUUUUAUCAUAUUUAAAUUUUAAGUUUUAGCUCCAUUUUAAAUAUUCUACUUCUAAGGAGUUCCCUGGUGGCCUAGCAGUUAGGGAUCUGGAAUUGUCACUGCUGUGGCACAGGUUUGAUCCCUAGCCAGGGAAGUUCUGCACGCCCCAGGCGCAGCCAAGAAAAAAAUCCUGCUUCUUGUACCUCCAUUACAGCAUCCUGCACAUUGUACCUUUGCUGGCUGCUCAUACUGCGCAGCCAAGUUCAAAAGUCAUCUCCUCAGCAAGACCAGUCCUGACCCCCCAUCCUAAAAAACAAAAUCUAUCCUUAUUCCAGUCACCUUGUCACAUAGCCCUGUGUUCAUUUCUUUAUCCAGUGAAGGUAUAAUAAAUGUCCUUAUUAAUACCUUUGUUUCCUUGUUUAUUCUGUGUGGCCCCUUCCCCAGAAGCUCACACCCCAGAAUGCAAAGCCCAUGUGAGACAGGCCCUGUCUUUCUGGUAUCAGGGCUGAGAUUCAGAGGCUGGAGUGGUUAGUGCCUCUUUUACUGUGAGUCUCCAAUCUGUGUUUGUUCAAUAAGGGAAUAUAAACUCAUACUCCCCAAAUAUCAGUGAGUCUGAAAGGAAAUGUUUGAAUUUAUGGUGAAGAAUGGGUUAUCCUAGAUGAUAAACCAACCCCACACUAGGACAAGCCUCCCCUGAAAUCAAAUUAAAAUAGAUGAGAGCCUGAGGGCUUCUGUGGGUGGCAGCUGCUCUCAUUUCGAAUAGGCCUAGUUCUUCCUCCAGCCAGAAGCCCUCAACGCAGUCUCUCCCCCAUAGCUCCUUCUGCCUGUAAUCCUUUUUGAUGGAAUUCCUUGCCUCAGCCCCGUCCAGCAACAUUUCUUUCAUGGCUGGGCUGACUGCCAAUGGCCCAGAUAAAGGCAGAAACUCGAGUGGAAUAUUUUGUUCUGGGAUAGCUUUCACCUUCCAGCUGCUCCAUCUUCCGGAAGGAUGACAGUCUGUGCUUGACAGAGGUGAGAGGCGUUUCUACAUCUUAAUAGCCUGUCUGAGAUGGACCAGGGGUCAGAUCCUUAAGCGUCCUGAGGAGGGGCCGGUCUUCCUGGAAGCCCAGAAACGCCUAAGAGUCCCCAGCUGUGCCAUUCACCCUUCAGCUGCUCACUGAUAAUCACAGUUUCAUUACUCACGCUCGAAUUUCUUUUCCUGAUCAGGACAGACUUCGAGGAGUCUCUGAGUAAUAAUGACAGGAAUAUAAUUUUCUUCAGCCUUUCACGUAGGCAUCUCAGUGGUAGAGCAGUGGUCAGAAACAGCUAAUUCCUUUUGACUUCAGCACAGCCCAAAUAAAGGCCAUUUGAAGUCAUCCAGCUGGAAAAAUAAUGUUAGGGCUCUCUCGAGAGUAUAUAAGAAAUAGGAACGGUGAAUUUCCUGCGAGUGACCAGGUCAGCCUGAGAACGGGUCUCUGUCCUGGGUGCCCUGCAUGAGGGUUGGAGGCGGCAGUGAAUGGAGGAGGUGGGGGCGGGGAGCAGGAGUCACAGGGGGCUAUGAAUCCUUGCUGAUGGGUGAAGAAGAGAUUCAUAUCUUCCAAUCUUUUUAAGGAGUGCCCCACUUUAUAAUUCCAGGCUUUCCUACUGUCUGUUUCCUACAAUGCCUUCUGACAUUCUCAAGGUACCAGUCUAUGGAGAAUAAAAGGCUAAUUCGAGUUUUUUCAGCUACUCAGGAAUUUUUUUUUCUUACAAAAUUACCUUGUAUCUCCCCUUCUCACAAACGCAGGCAAUCCAGAUAUUGUUGAGAUCCUUCUUAGAGAACUGACCUUUCUAGGUUGUUAAGCUCUUUCCCCUCCUGGAAAAAUAGAUGCCUUUAGAUGAGGUCUAAAGGGCUGAUGAGAGUCUUAAACCUACUAUAAUUCCCACGACGAAUAAUUUUUAUGGAAGCCUUUCUGUGGCUUCAUUGUUUGAAUGAAUAACUAAGGGUGGGGAGGGAGGAGAAUGGACUUAUUGGUUGUUUGCUCUAAUGCAUAUUAAUUCAUAAAACUAAAGACCUGAAGGGAAUGUUCUGAGAUAAAAGCCUCCAUCCCCUGCCUCCAGGGAAGAAUUCAUUCAGCUACCUCAAGAUAUAAAGUCAGCGGCACUUAAUAAUCCCCAUAAGAAAGUCUGCCACUUCCUUUAAUAAUAUGCCCCAGUGUCCUAUCCAUCCUUACAGACAGGUGAUUUUUCAUGGGCACGAACAUAAAUAAUUCCAAAACCAGGUAAAAAAAAAAAGAUGUUAUUGUCUGUUUCACUCAUCUGCGUAGCUUCAAUUUCUUGAGAAAUUGAUUGGCAUCUAGUAGGCACUCAUUAAACAUCUUUUGAGUAAAAGAAUAAAUAAUUGAAUAAAGAAAUGAAAAUUAAGCAGAGAAAUGGCCCAGAACCAUUGAGAACUUAUUCUCUGCGUAGUGCUUUUUAGGCAUUGUGUGGAUUUCAAAGAUGUAAAAGGGAAAAGAACCUGUUAAACCCAGGUUCUGACUGUUUCUCACUUCACACAGGUACACCUCUAGUCACAAGUAAGGUUCAUCCAAAACAGAUUAAAACAGUACUGUCUCUAUACUAAGAGAGCCUGAGAUGAAGACAUGCAUUUGUAUCAGGAUGAAUAAAAAUGGCCUGGAGACAAGAUAAUGAGCAGUUUUGAAUUACCGGUAGGAUUUGGAGGUCGAAGGCCCUUCUAGGAGGAGGUGAUGCCCAGAGUAAAUGCUUGGAGGCAGGAAAGUGCUGAGUUCGAUGCAGAAGCACUGAGCAAUCUCAUGUGUCUCGAGAGGCAGAUAUGUCUGUACAUGUCUGUCUGCUGCUGGUGGUGGUGGUGAAGAUGGCAGAAGCAGGUGGGCACAGGCCGGAAGGGUCUGCUGGAGCCCCUAAAAACAGCCACCAUAGAGUUCAGAGUAGAAAAAGAUCAUUCAUGUCACAAAGUACCACACUGGAAGCACUGUGAAAUCUGGAAUUUUCGUCCCUUUGUCUACAGUUCUAUCUAUGGCCCCUGGAAUAGUGCCUGGGAUGGAGUGGGUGCUGGGUAAAUGUUUGUUGAGUAACUAUGAAAUAUUCUUAUUUUUUUCUGAGCAUGGCAAAUGUAAGUUAUGCCUUUGUAGAACUGCUCAACUCUUAUUUUGUUUACAUUUUCAGUGUCAAAGAGACAAAAUUCAAACUGGAAAAGGUAGAACAUUAUCAAUGAAGGGCAUGUGCGUCCAAGACAGUAAAAUAACACCUAGAGUCUUAGAAUAAUCUCAGUAUUCUGGACUAUUGAAAAAUGAUGUAGUAGGGUACUGAAAUAAUUUCAGAUCUGAUUCCACAACUACUGUCAAUACUUAAUGGAGAACUCAAGGAGAAUAGUAAAGGCCACAGGGAAAUGUUUGGGAUGAUAUUGGCCCAGUUCUUAAGAGUACAUUCUCCCAAGCAAUGUACUAAAUUGUGCUUCCUGGCUAACCUCUAAAACUCUGAAUUAUUUCUAAGCAGUUUAUCUGUAAGUACUCAGGGUUGCCGAUUGUAGUAGUUACUGUGCCACUACUAACUAGAAGGGGGUAGGAGAAAGAAACUUUGGUUGAGAGAUGGGUCGCAGGUGAAAGUGUGUUCUAGCUGUGUACUUUCAGAACAGCAUAGGACGGUGAAGCUAUCAUGGUGUGCAGUCAAUGGAAAUGAGGUGGGUCUUCUAAUCCAGUGUAAUUCAUCCAUCAGUAAGACAGGGAUCCUGCUCUAAAUGGGCUAAGUUCUCUAAACAUCGACUAUAGCUGUAAAAACAAAGGAUAAUCUCUAAUUGGAAAUUACCACCUAAGCUGUAGUCCCACAAAUGCAUGAGGUUCAACUAAGGUGAUGUUUGGAAGAUUCUGAGAACAAUGCCUAAUACAGAAUGAGGGCUUACUUAUUAACUAUUUUUAGCAGUACAAUAAAAAUUAAAAGCUCUAAAAUAAAACCUUUAUAAAAUUAUAUUUGUAAUUAGAAAAGAAUAAACAGCCUACUUUUCAUGAAUUAAAAAUUAGGAAUAAGGAGGUUCCUGCCAUGGCUCAGUGGAAACAAAUCUGACUAGUAUCCAUGAGGACGCUGGUUCGAUCUGGGGCCUUGCUCAGUGGGUUAAGAAUCUGGCAUUGCUGUGAGCUGUGGUGUAGGUUGCAAACAUGGCUCAGAUCCUGAGUUGCUGUGGCUGUGGUGUAGGUCAGUGGCUACAGCUCCGAUUCAACCCCUAGCCUGGGAACCUCCAUAUGCCAUGGGCAUGGCCCCAAAAAGACAAAAAAAAAAAAAGUAGGAAUAAGCAAUCGUGAAAAUAUUUGUUCAUCGUAUAGUUCAUUUGUAUAUUCAGGCAACAGACAUUCAUAAAGCAGUUUCUAUUUGCUAGUACUUCCCUAGAUGCUCAGGAUGGGAAGACAAUUAAGAUAAUAUAUUUAUUCUUAAGGGAUUCAAUAUAGUGUGGGGUCUUAUACUUAUCCAUAUAAGAACUAAAAAACUCUAUUGCACAUUUAUGGUUCAUAACUGUCCCUGUUUGAUUGCAAGCUCCUUGGGGGCCAAACUGUUUCAUUUCCAUCUUUUCUGACACCUACAACUACUCUAGGUGAUGGUGCUGUUCUCAGCAACAAAAGACGCAGGUUUUAGGAGAUCCUCUUGUGGCACAGCAGAAACCAAUCCCACUAGUAUCCAUGAGGAUGGGAGUUCAAUCUGUCACCUCGCUCAGUGGGUCGGGGAUCUGGUGUUGCCGUGAGGUGUGGUGUAGGCCAACAGCUACAGCUCCAAUUGGACCCCUAGCCUGGGAACUCCCAUAUGCCAUG
rnacentral:lncRNA from 1 species